rnacentral:rRNA from 1 species
UACGGAGGGUGCAAACGUUGCUCGGAAUCAUUGGGCGUAAAGAGCUCGUAGGCGGUUUGUCGCGUCGAAUGUGAAAACCCGGGGCUCAACCCCGGGCCUGCAUUCGAUACGGGCAUACUAGAGUUCGGUAGGGGAGUCUGGAAUUCCUGGUGUAGCGGUGAAAUGCGCAGAUAUCAGGAGGAACACCGGUGGCGAAGGCGGGACUCUGGGCCGAUACUGACGCUGAGGAGCGAAAGCGUGGGGAGCAAACAGG